CCUGGGAAGAGGAAGAAAAGAGGGCCUAAGAGCUGUAGGAAUGGGAACAUGGAGGAAAGCGUGAGUGCUUUGCUUCAAUCCUAUUCACAUUGGAGGUGGAGACUUGGCUUCAAGUUUUCCCAAUGCCUCCCAUUCCUAUCGUUCUUAGGUGCUCCUUCCUCUUCCUUUCUGUU
rnacentral:pre_miRNA from 1 species